CCAAUUUGAAAGAUCAUUUAAUGUAGUUGAAAUAACUGAAUUUUGGGUUGUUCGAUCAAGUAAGGGAAAGUCAAUGGAAUUCAGAACUGUCUCAAUGUUUUUUUUAUUGAAUAUUUCGACAA